AAAGAAAUUCAUGCUUUGAACGACAAAUUUUGCAAUUAAUUGAAUGAAACAAAACCUCGAAUCUCUAUAAUGUCGUCCAAAAUGAAGGCGUUUUUUGCAGCUUGCAUUCUUUUGCUGUCCACUCUUGUUAUUUUCACUACUACAACAUCAGCUCGUGCUCUAGUUAUCCAAAAAAAGGAAAGGAAUCCCAUACCGAAGCCAAAGCCAGGUCCUAGGUGUAGUAAGGUACAUGGUAAACGUGUAUGCAUAGGAUAUUGAUAAAACCAAAGAAAAACUACAUAUGUAUAUAUAUAUACAUGCCCAAGUUUCUUCCUCAUCUUGUUCUUCAGGCCAGUAUAUGUAUAUAAGCUGGCUUUCAUUGAUGUAUUUAUCUGCACUUUGGAAAUCGGAAUUGUAAUUCGUGGUAAUGUUUGAUGUAGUUGAAAGUGUUCUUGAAAAUAA